UACGUAGGGGGCAAGCGUUGUCCGGAUUUAUUGGGCGUAAAGAGCGUGUAGGCGGCCAGGUAGGUCCGUUGUGAAAACUCGAGGCUCAACCUCGAGACGUCGGCGGAAACCCUCUGGCUAGAGUCCGGAAGAGGAGUGUGGAAUUCCUGGUGUAGCGGUGAAAUGCGCAGAUAUCAGGAGGAACACCGGUGGCGAAGGCGGAUCUCUGGGCCUGUUCUGACGCUGAGGCGCGAAAGCUAGGGGAGCGAACAGG
rnacentral:rRNA from 1 species